GGUUCCGCCUGGGCAUCCGCCUAGCAACAGUGACGACAGGACACCUUUUUUUUCCCCCUACUGGUUGAGUUCGCCCAAUCGCCAGCUUGCUGUCGAUUGUUGCGCUGGUUGAUCGACGGGAGGCGCCUCUUCCUUCACCUGCGGGAAUUCGGGAGGGCGGGGCGCAGGUUGAGGAGCGGGGCCGGGAUGGCUCUGCGCUCUGCGCCCGUCUUGCUCCUGGCGUUGGUGGCGGUCGCUCUGUGGGAGGGCUGCGUCGGCGCCUUCUCACACUCCCUGAAGUAUUUUGUCACCUCCAUCUCGGAGCCCAGUCAGGGGCUGCCCCACUAUGUCAUUGUGGGGCAUGUGGAUGGUCAAGUCUUCAGUUCCUACGACAGCAACAGCCGGAAGAUGCAGCCUCGAGUCUCCUGGAUGGAGAAGGUGGGGAAGGAGGACCCCCAGUACUGGGACAGAAACACCCAGAUGGCACGUGAGGAAGAGGAGGUGUUCACAAGAGACCUGGUGAUUGCGAGGACUCGCUACAAUCAGAGCAAAGGCCUUCACACAUGGCAGAGGAUGGUUGGCUGUGAACUCCGGGGAGACGGGAGCAAAGGAGCGUUUCAGCAAUACGGCUACGACGGGAGGACCUUCCUCACCUUCGACAAGGAGACCCUCACCUGGGUGGCUCCCGACCCCCAGGCCCGGAUCACCCAGAGGAAAUGGGACGCUCUUCCAGGAUAUAAUCAGAGACGGAAGGCCUACCUGGAGGACGUCUGCAUCAAGUGGCUGGAGAAGCACCUGUCCUACGGGAAGGAGACGCUGCUCAGGACAGACCCCCCAGAGGUGACACUCAGCAGGAAGAUUGAGGUGGAGGAUGGGAUGGAGACACAAAUCUGCCGCCUGGAGGGCUUCUACCCAAGGGAGAUCGAGGCCUCCUGGACGAGGGACGGGGAGGUCUGGCUGCAGGACACCCUCCGUGGCUCCGUGGCCCCAAAUGCAGAUGGGACCUACCACUAUUGGCUCAGCAUCCAGAUCGAUCCCAAAGAGAGGGGCCGCUAUCGGUGCCACGUGGAGCACGACGGCCUACCGAAGCCUCUGGACGUGGCCCUGAAGGAGCCAAAAUCCAACCUGGGGCUCAUCAUCGGCUGCGUUGUGGCUGGCCUUGUCCUGCUGGGUGUGAUUGUUGGGAUCUUGGUAUUUCUUAGUAAGUAUCCUUUUCUGGGUGAUGGAAGGAAGAUGGGGAGGUUCCUCCCAAGUCUCUUCCUUUGGGGAGCUUCUUCAGGGCUUUCUCCUGUCCUGUUUUCCCAGCCCUCUUGGGGAGCCUCUGAGAUCUCAGCCUCUUUCUGGGACUCCAGUCUUGACUUGGCUGAGUCUGAGGUUGGGACAAUCCUGCCUUCUUCUGUGUUGGGAAGAGGCAUCCCAGUUCCGUCCCUUUCAAAGUCUUUGGUCAAAGAGCAGCAGAGAAGGAUUUCCAUGAAAAUCUUCCUCCCCUCCCAGCUGCUGCUGCUUCCCCCCUUUCCCUCCCUCAUCUCGGAGGCAGCAGGUCUCCCUUGGGGCAAAUCAGGAGAUACUUUUGGUUUUUGAAAAUCUUUGUGUCUUUGUUAAUGGGUCAGAUUGACUGUGAAAUAUCUCCUGGGGUUCUUCCUCUUGCAGAGAGAGAGAUUGGAUGAUCUCUGGUGGAUUCUUUUGGGCUUUCACUGAUUUUUGUCUUUGCAGAGAGACAUCAGGAUGGCCACAGAGCAGUACCAAGUGAGUGACUUGUCCUCUUUACAUGUAAUCUCCAACUUAGAGCAGGGACCAGAGAUGCCAUCACUUGAAGGCAAGUGAGGAAGGAUCCAACAGUUCCAGCCAGGGGAGCAACCAGGUCAUUUAGCAGCCCCUUUGAAGCACGAGUGGACACUCCCAGGAUGAGGAGAGAGGAGAGAAGUGGGGAUCGGUCUUUUUCUGAAUUAGGCCAGACUCUCAGGAGGAGCCCUUCAGGGUCUUCCAACAUGCUGGAACCAGGAUGUAUUUGGGGUCUUUCAUCACUGCUUUUAUCAUUGAGUCAGUGACCUUGUUUUAUUGAGGAACAGAGAAGAAAAGAAAAUCUUAUGUGUUUAUAAUUGUGGAAUCAAAAGGAUUCAAUCUGGGUUUAGUAGAUAUUAUUAUUAUUUUGUUUGUAUUAGCUGCUGAAGAUAUCAAAGGUAUUCAGGUGGGACUUGAACUCACAGUCGCUUUCUAACCUGAUCCCUUAACCACUAAACUGCCUUGUACAGCUUGUAAUAGCUUUGUAACAUAGCUUGUAGCAGCUACGUUGUUAUUUCUGAUGACCUUUAAUGGGCUUCUGCUGAUUGGAGAAGAUUUCAUAGCAAAUGAGGAGACGAAUAGGAUGCAGAGUUGCUGGUUUUACUUUAAGGGAGAGUGAUAAACUGUUAAUCUUCAUUAUACAUGCCCAGAUUGAAAGUGGAGGGUUUUUUUUUCUGUGUUUUUAUUUUUCUUUGUAUUAGUUGUAUAAUACAAUAGAAAGAAUGUACAAUAUGUUGCCAUUUAUGGAUGUUCAUGGUUUAGAAAAAUGGAACAGGAGCCCUCCCCAUCAUGACAUGCUGAGCAAACAGGAGAUUAUUUUUUUCUCCUAUUUUGCUCCCAGUUUUUCAAAGGAGACACUAAGAAUAGCAAUAGUACUUAGACUUAUAUCCACUUCAUAGUACUUUACAGCCCUCUCUAAGCCGUUUACAGAGCCAGCAUAUGGCCCCCAACAAACUAGGUCCUUAUUUUACCGAUGGCCAAGAUGAUAUCCAUAUUUUACCGAUGGCCAAGAUGACAUCCAACCUUUGGACAAUCAUGCACAAAUGGGGAAGAGGGGAGGGGCUGAAUGCCAGCAAUUCUUGGUCUGGUCUGUUACCAUCUUUUCCCUUCAGCUGCUAAGUUUUCAUAAGCAUACCUGGGUUUUAAUUGCCAUUUUUCAAGCUUUACAAUCUCUUGAUUUAUGAGUAGCUGACUUCUAAUCUUGCUGGAUUUUACAACUUUUUUUCCUGCUGUUUCAUUGUUUACCAAAAUUGCCAUAAGGAGGUUGAGGUAGGUUUUACAUUUACCUUUACAGAGGAUUAUACUAUAAACCUUGCUCUUUCUAGCUUUUUUCAUUCUUUCUUUUUUUAAGGGCCUCAAUAUUUAGCUCUUAAUUUUUGAUUGAAAAAUUCCCAUUUUUUUAACCCUGAAGGGAAAAAAAUUCCUUUACCUGUGGAAGCCGUUGCUUAUCUGCUUUUCUUGUCUUUGAAGAAAAAAACAAAGUUUUUCAUGUUUUGAAAGGAGAUAAAUUAUUUUUGCAAAUAACUGAGAAAAGAAAGCUUUCCAACGGUAACAGGUUGUAUUUGAAAAUAUAAACAAAAAAUGUGAUGGGUCAAGAACGGUUCUGUAAAAUUAAGAUGAUACCCAAAAGCAGGAAAUAACAGUUGGACCUGAUUUGCAAUUUGAGGAAUUGGAAUUUGAUUUAUUGCAAGUCAUAUGCAAAGAAUGUAUUUUGGUUUGCCAGAAAAGAUUGAAAAGAAUAUGAAUAUAAGAAACUCUGAAACAACAGAGAAAAGACGAAGGAUGGACUGCAUUUUCUCGGCAAGAGAAAUGCUGUGUUGUUGAGGAGAAUAAUUCCACAAUGGAUGUUGCAGAGAUGUUUACCACAGAGACCUCUGAACUUUGGGAAUUAGAUGCAAUUGUUGGUCAAGUUCCUAAUUAAAAACCUAAGGAACGGUUUCACUGUUAAGAACCAAAUGAGGGUAUUUGACCCUGGACUCAUGAUCGGGGUGAUUUGCAGUAAAUAAGAAACUCUGUAGACUUUCUAUGAAUAAAUUAUAAUAACAGACUGUACUAGAGUGCUUUGAAUUUUAACUUCCCUGUUGUUCAACCUGUUAACUAUUUUUCCUUUCACAUAGAUAAUCCAUGAUAGGUCAAUUUGGUUGCAAAUAGAUGUACAAGAUUAUAAAUUUUGGACCUCUUUUGCAAGCGGGGGAGCUCUUAUUGUUGCAAUAGAUUUCUUAAUGUGCUGGAGUCGGUCUCUCACCUGGGCUGGUCAC